AAACUGCGAUAAGUAGUGUGAAUUGCAUUUAGUGAAUCAUCGAAUCUUUGAACGCACCCUGCACUCACUGGUAUUCCGGUGAGUACGCCUGUUUCAGUAUCAUUGAAAACACACAAUCAAAACAUUUUCUUUGGUUUGAUUGGCUUUGGGUCUAUCAAAAGGUUUGGCUUGUUUCUUACAAGCCAAGCGGCCUGAAAUAUAUUGUCUGGCUAAUUGCAUCGUUGAUGAUCGCUAUUAGACUUUGGCUUUUUUAAAUGAACUGGAGGUUGAUUAACCAGUUUUAGCUUUAGUCAAAUGGUCAUUGUAAAAAAAAUCUCGAUCUUGGCUAGGUGUUUAUAGCCGAAAAUUUUUUUUUGGCUAUAACCGAAACCAAUAUAAUCACAUUUAGUUAUCGAUCUGAAAUCAGGUGGGACUACCCGCUGAACUUAAGC
rnacentral:misc_RNA from 1 species